CAGAAAUCUUGGAAAUACCAAAUAAUGAAUACAAUGGGCCUUUCACAAACCAGAAACAAAGCAGAAAAUGCUUUAUGAGGCAAGAGCAAGGUCUCACCUCCUGCUUCAGCUUCCCACCUUUAUAGCACAGACACCAAGAAGAGGGGCCUCUGCUUGAAAGACUCAUCCUACCAUCAAUCCUACAAACGAGCAUUAUCGAGUGCUUUAAAAAAUGAUCUGCCAGUAUUUGAGUUCUGUAGGCUGAGGCACAUCUUUAUCACCAGCUAAUGUGGUAUUUACUCUCUCAGAAGACAGGCGCAGAAACGAUGGAAGAUGCCUCCACAUCUGUCUCCUCCAGGUGGCAGUUGUGCUUCCUUUCCCACUGUUUUCUUCAUUAGCGCUAAUUUAGUCUUUGAAGAAUUGGCAACUGUUUUGCAAAAUUUGAGCAUAUUUUCCCCCUUUGAGGAAUAGAUCUGAGAAU